rnacentral:rRNA from 1 species
UACGAAGGGGGCUAGCGUUGCUCGGAAUCACUGGGCGUAAAGCGCACGUAGGCGGGUCCUUAAGUCAGGGGAUGAAAUCCUGGAGCUCAACUCCAGAACUGCCCUUGAUACUGAGGAUCUCGAGUUCGGGAGAGGUGAGUGGAACUGCGAGUGUAGAGGUGAAAUUCGUAGAUAUUCGCAAGAACACCAGUGGCGAAGGCGGCUCACUGGCCCGAUACUGACGCUGAGGUGCGAAAGCGUGGGAGCA